rfam:Glycine max cultivar Williams 82 chromosome 10, whole genome shotgun sequence.
AUAGGACUGUCUUAGAAUGGUGUACAUUCUAAAACAGUCUCCAACACAAACUCGUCUUAGAAUGUCAUACAUUUUAAGACGGGCUUAU